UCCUACGGGGGGCAGCAGUGAGGAAUAUUGGUCAAUGGUCGGGAGACUGAACCAGCCAAGCCGCGUGAGGGAUGAAGGUACAGAGUAUCGUAAACCUCUUUUGUCAGGGAACAAAGGCGGGGACGUGUCCCCGGAUGAGUGUACCUGAAGAAAAAGCAUCGGCUAACUCCGUGCCAGCAGCCGCGGUAAUACGGAGGAUGCGAGCGUUAUCCGGAUUUAUUGGGUUUAAAGGGUGCGCAGGCGAUCUGUUAAGUCAGCGGUCAAAGCCCGGGGCUCAACCCCGGCCCGCCGUUGAAACUGGCAGU
rnacentral:rRNA from 1 species